UACGAAGGGGGCUAGCGUUGUUCGGAAUCACUGGGCGUAAAGGGCGCGUAGGCGGCUUUAUAAGUCGGGGGUGAAAGCCUGUGGCUCAACCACAGAAUUGCCUUCGAUACUGUAGAGCUUGAGACCGGAAGAGGUUAGUGGAACUGCGAGUGUAGAGGUGAAAUUCGUAGAUAUUCGCAAGAACACCAGUGGCGAGGGCGGCUUACUGGUCCGGUUCUGACGCUGAGGCGCGAAAGCGUGGGGAGCAAACAGG
rnacentral:rRNA from 1 species